AGGUAAUAGCGGACAGAUUGGCAGGACCCCUGGGCUGUCUGGAAGAACACGGAGACGCUUCAACUGCCCUAUUCGUGAAGACUUGGCAGAGGGUAGCGUGUGGAGAGGUUGUGGCUUGGCGGAACAGAACGAUGAAGUAUCUUGUUUGAGAAAUGCGCAUAGGGUGGAGACGACGAGCAACUCGACGGUGGCGAGUAAUGGAAGAGGCCGUGACCUUGAGUCGAGUCUGUGUUUGAGCACCUUAUAAUACCCCUCACUGUUGCGCCUUGGGAAAGAAGAAAGGAGGUUUCUGAUAAAACCCAGGAUCAAGAUAAGGAUGAUUGCAUGUCUGUUGACUAAGUGGUGUCCAUGGAUAUGUUUGCCUUAAAAUUUAGAUCUUGUUUUACCAUUGGAUAGUUUUGCAUAGAUUUGUAAACGGACCUAUGACCUCACUAUAGAAUUGCAUGUCAAAGGUAAUCCUUUAAUAUUUAUCAGUUAAGAGAUAGUGAUGCUGACAGUACUCUCCUGUAAUAAUGGCACAAAUGUUCAUUAUUGUAUUAGUUGAUUUGUAAUGUACAAUUUGGGAAUUUUGAAUGUAGUUACGAUAAGUCUGAAACAGCAGACUAAUAGAACUCAUUA